CUGUCUGAAAUCUCUCCCUUGUCAUUUCAUUUAUAUACCAAGCCAUCAUACAACUGCACAGCCUACACAAUCAUAUGUGAUAAUCCUAUUUAUAUAAAGCCAAUAAACUCUCUUUUUUUCUUUGACAAUAUGUAAAGUUCUAUGUGUUUAAGAAAUGAGGCCCAUUACAAUGUUCUGCUAAGCAGCGUCUACCUAAGAGUCAUCUUACUCUAGGUAUGCAAUGAGGUCCAUAAAGACAUGGCAAGAAUCCAUGAAAUUAGAGUUUUGUCUUUACAAUGAGUUAGGUCAAAUUUUGGAGCAAAGCUUCUCUU
rnacentral:lncRNA from 1 species